CGAGUUUUAAAUAAUAGCUCGAGACCUAGAAAAACAGGGCGAGGCCGUGCGUGCGUCAAUGAAGAUUAAGAUCAUCUGGAGGUCAAGAAUUUAUCUUAGGAGGACUUCUGCACCACAGUGAUUUGCAUGGAGUCUACAUUAUAGUUCAUCACAAGAUAUUGAAUAUAGUUCCCUAUGCUAUUCUUUCUUAUUAUUCUUGCACCAUUUGUAAUAGUAAAAAGCUGGA